rnacentral:rRNA from 1 species
CAUGCAAGUCGAGCGGAUGAAGGGAGCUUGCUCCUGGAUUCAGCGGCGGGCGGGUGAGUAAUGCCUAGGAAAUCUGCCUGGUAGUGGGGGAUAACGUCCGGAAACGGGCGCUAAUACCGCAUACGUCCUGAGGGAGAAAGUGGGGGAUCUUCGGACCUCACGCUAUCAGAUGAGCCUAGGUCGGAUUAGCUAGUUGGUGGGGUAAAGGCCUACCAAGGCGACGAUCCGUAACUGGUCUGAGAGGAUGAUCAGUCACACUGGAACUGAGACACGGUCCAGACUCCUACGGGAGGCAGCAGUGGGGAAUAUUGGACAAUGGGCGAAAGCCUGAUCCAGCCAUGCCGCGUGUGUGAAGAAGGUCUUCGGAUUGUAAAGCACUUUAAGUUGGGAGGAAGGGCAGUAAGUUAAUACCUUGCUGUUUUGACGUUACCAACAGAAUAAGCACCGGCUAACUUCGUGCCAGCAGCCGCGGUAAUACGAAGGGUGCAAGCGUUAAUCGGAAUUACUGGGCGUAAAGCGCGCGUAGGUGGUUCAGCAAGUUGGAUGUGAAAUCCCCGGGCUCAACCUGGGAACUGCAUCCAAAACUACUGAGCUAGAGUACGGUAGAGGGUGGUGGAAUUUCCUGUGUAGCGGUGAAAUGCGUAGAUAUAGGAAGGAACACCAGUGGCGAAGGCGACCACCUGGACUGAUACUGACACUGAGGUGCGAAAGCGUGGGGAAGCAAACAGGAUUAGAUACCCUGGUAGUCCAACGCCGUUAAACGAUGUCGACUAGCCGUUGGGAUCCUUGAGAUCUUAGUGGCGCAGCUAACGCGAUAAGUCGACCGCCUGGGGAGUACGGCCGCAAGGUUAAAACUCAAAUGAAUUGACGGGGGCCCGCACAAGCGGUGGAGCAUGUGGUUUAAUUCGAAGCAACGCGAAGAACCUUACCUGGCCUUGACAUGCUGAGAACUUUCCAGAGAUGGAUUGGUGCCUUCGGGAACUCAGACACAGGUGCUGCAUGGCUGUCGUCAGCUCGUGUCGUGAGAUGUUGGGUUAAGUCCCGUAACGAGCGCAACCCUUGUCCUUAGUUACCAGCACCUCGGGUGGGCACUCUAAGGAGACUGCCGGUGACAAACCGGAGGAAGGUGGGGAUGACGUCAAGUCAUCAUGGCCCUUACGGCCAGGGCUACACACGUGCUACAAUGGUCGGUACAAAGGGUUGCCAAGCCGCGAGGUGGAGCUAAUCCCAUAAAACCGAUCGUAGUCCGGAUCGCAGUCUGCAACUCGACUGCGUGAAGUCGGAAUCGCUAGUAAUCGUGAAUCAGAAUGUCACGGUGAAUACGUUCCCGGGCCUUGUACACACCGCCCGUCACACCAUGGGAGUGGGUUGCUCCAGAAGUAGCUAGUCUAACCGCAAGGGGGACGGUUACCACGGAGUGAUUCAUGACUGGGGUGAAGUCGUAAC